AAAAUAAUCCUACCCUUUGUGAAUUUUGUUUGUUUGAAUAAUUUUUUUUUUUUAAAAAAUUAUUGGAGUCUUUCCCUUUAGAGUUUGCUUUUGAGUUUGUAAAAGAAUUCGAAAACAUCUAAAGGGGAUGGUCAAUAAUUUUUUUGAAAAAAGACAUUUUUAAAAUUAAACUUUUUGUAUUCAUUUGUCUAAAAAUUAUUUUUUAUAAUAUAAAAACAACUUUUGACAAUGGAUCUCUUGGUUCUCGCAACGAUGAAGAACGCAGCAAAAUGCGAUAAGUAGUGUGAAUUGCAGAAUACGUGAAUCAUCGAAUCUUUGAACGCAUAUUGCACUUUUUUAGUUUACUAAAAAGUAUGUCUGUUUGAGUAUCAGUAAAAUAUUCUCAUAAAAAUCAUUGUGUAUUUUUAUGGUUAUGAGUGUUUUACAACGAUACAAGUUGUUUCACUUUAAAUUUUUUUUUAAUAUUGAAAUUUUUCUAAUUUUAAUAAUUAAAAUUGGAUAAAAUUUUCCCGUCAAAAGGAAUAACCUAAACAAUUUUAAAUGAUUAAUUUUAGCAAAAUUUUCGAAAAAAAGGAAAAUUUUUAUUAAAAUAACUUGAUCUCAAAUCAGAUAAGAGUACCCGCUGAACUUAAGCAUAUCAAUAAGCGGAGGAAAAGAAACUAACAAGGAUUCCCUUAGUAACGGCGAGUGAAGCGGGAAGAGCUCAAAUUUGAAAUCUUCAAGGUUUUACCUUGACGAAUUGUAGUUUAAAGAAGUGUUUUCUGCUGAAGUUUUGGUAGAAGUUCUUGGAAUAGGACAUCAUAGAGGGUGAGAAUCCGUAUUUGACCAUUAUUUUCAGCUUUGUGAUACACUUUCAAAGAGUCGGAUUGUUUGGGAAUGCAGUCCAAAAUGGGUGGUAAAUUUCAUCUAAAGCUAAAUAUUGGCGAGAGACCGAUAGCGAACAAGUACCGUGAGGGAAAGAUGAAAAGAACUUUGAAAAGAGAGUUAAAUAGUACGUGAAAUUGUCAAAAGGGAAGCGUUUGACACCAGUGUUGUUUUCUCGAAAAUCAAUUAAAAAUGGCUCGAUUUUGUAUUGCUGAGACCUUAAAAGCUCACUGUACAUUUUUCGUGUCUUUUUAAUGCACUUUUCGUUUAACAAGUCACAUCAGUUUCUUUUGUUGUAAAAGGUCAUUGGAAGGUGGCUUUCUUUUCGGAGAAAGUGUUUAUAGCCUUUGGCCUCUGCAAUCGAGAGACUGAGGUCUGCAGCGUAGACUCUUCGGGUUAGAUACAUUUGUGCUGAGUUAUAGCUUUUUAUAGACAACUUGUU
rnacentral:misc_RNA from 1 species